rnacentral:rRNA from 1 species
CUACGGGAUGCUCCAGUGAGGAAUAUUGCACAAUGGGGGGAACCCUGAUGCAGCAACGCCGCGUGGAGGAUGACGCAUUUCGGUGUGUAAACUCCUUUUAUAUGUCAAGAGAAUGACGGUAGCAUAUGAAUAAGCACCGGCUAACUCCGUGCCAGCAGCCGCGGUAAUACGGAGGGUGCAAGCGUUACUCGGAAUCACUGGGCGUAAAGGACGCGUAGGCGGGUUGGAAAGUCAGGUGUGAAAUCCUACAGCUUAACUGUAGAACUGCACUUGAAACUUCUAAUCUAGAGUAUGGGAGGGGGAGAUGGAAUUAGUGGCGUAGGGGUAAAAUCCGUAGAUAUCACUAGGAAUACCUAAAGCGAAGGCGAUCUCCUGGAACAUUACUGACGCUAAGGCGUGAAAGCGUGGGGAGCAAACAGGAUUAGAUACCCGAGUAGUC